GAUGACGCUGCGCGUGGCGUUAACACAUGCAAGUCGAACGAAGCACUGUUGGAUUGGAAUACGUUCGGAGGAAAGAGACAGUGACUGAGUGGCGGACGGGUGAGUAACGCGUGGGUAACCUGCCUCAUACAGGGGGAUAACAGUUAGAAAUGACUGCUAAUACCGCAUAAGCGCACAGUACCGCAUGGUACGGUGUGAAAAACUCCGGUGGUAUGAGAUGGACCCGCGUCUGAUUAGCUAGUUGGUGAGGUAACGGCUCACCAAGGCGACGAUCAGUAGCCGACCUGAGAGGGUGACCGGCCACAUUGGGACUGAGACACGGCCCAA
rnacentral:rRNA from 1 species